UUUGAAAGCUCCCGAAUCGUUGCCUGCUGUCUGAUCAACGUGUUUUAACUCGGGGGCCUUUCUUUCAACGAAUAGUACGGUGAUUUCACGGCGAACCAAUGUGGUGAUUCGAUAGACGAUAAAAAGUUUCGUUUCGGAAAUAGAAAGUAUUGCCGGUUUAUAAAUUGAAAAAAAAAAAAAAACACGUCGAUCAAAACGGGAUUUAGUCGAUUUAAUAUAUGAAAAUAGCAAUGUACGAUGGUAUCGUGAGUUUUUCAUUUUAAAUGAUUUUCGAAGUAGCUUUUCGUUCGCGGUUGGUUAGAAAUUUCUUGGCGAACGAGUGUGACUGGUCAUUUGUUAAAAGCGGCACAAAGCGUGCGCCAAAAACCGGGUCAUCCACUUCUCGCGAAAAAUCGAUACGAAAUGGUGGAACGCGAUUCCUGGUCUGACCACUGGUUGACUCGUUCCACUUGCUGCGCCGUGGAUAGUCAUUUUUCAAUGGCGAAUUUUGUGAUUCGCGUUACACUGGGUCGCUGCGUUAGUUACGUCGCGUUUAAACCAAGUUUGCCAAUAUCGUGUCAUUAGACGAUUCCAACGAUACGAAAUGACGUUGAACGAUCAGCAAGAACGAAUUUUCGUCGAAGGAAACAAGAUGUCUCGUUCGAGAUAAUCCGAUUCUUCGAUGAAAAAUAUUCCUAGAGAUCGUAUAGAUAUCACUAUCCCUAAUCGUUUCCUACGUUUAUAUUUUUUCACCGCCAUAUUCUUUACUCUCCAAUUUUUUUUUACCGCGUUGCUAUUUCUCUUCUCAUCCUUUGUUCGGACGAAUUAAAAUUCUUUUUAUCGUUCUAUUUAUUGGAUAUCGUACAACGACGGAUGCGAACUCUUCGAACAUCAUUCUUCUGGAGCCAAUUCGUGGAUCUAAUCAGACGAAACGGUCUCGAUCGUUUUUGGAGAAUCGCGAAAGUGAAGGAGAAAUACAGAGAAAGAAAGAGGAGGAGAGAACGACAGCACUUGGCGAAUGAAAAAUUUUACGCGUCUACGCGUACGAAGAAACCUGCUGGUACGUCGUUGCCUUCGCAACUUGUUGCUAGUCGUUCAGAGAUCUCUCCACUUCUCGAUUCUCGGUGCUGCUUCCUGCACACAGGUGCUGUAGUGGGACAAAAUUCUCGUCCUUUCCGUGACACUGAUCCUUCGACGAUCGAUCCACUAACGCCAGCGUGGUAUUUUCAAGAUACGCUCCUGUUUCCCUUCGACGAUAGAAGCCUCGCCUUUAGAACGAUUCUAAUUGUAUAGCGAUUACGGUGUGUACAUGACGGCGCGAAACAGAAUAUUAACACUGGAGUAUUAAAUCGAGCUUUCGGCGAGAGUUCUCGUGGACGUCGACGAUCGUUGCUUCUACGUUCUACGCUCUACGUUCGGAGACCUGCCGUUGCUUCGCAAACGCCGUGAACCUUGGCAGUGAUCACCCCUUGAUCAAUUAUCCAUCAUUCGGAGAAGGACCAAAAUUCGCGCCACAAUCCGUGCAGUUGGCGAUCGAACGUCUAUAGUAACACUUCCCAAAGCGAAAUUAUAUUUCGCGACAAGGGUGUUAAUGAACGAGCUCGGGCCUCAAGCUUAAAAUAUUCGAGCGAUCUAAGGUUCUCCAGAAGUCUGUUCUCAAAGUAGAAAUCGGAAAAAUUGGAAGUCGAAAACCGUAUACUUCGAGAUUUUGCCGAACCACGAACAAUGGAGAUUCGAGUGUCGUCUCUCGAGGCAAAGGGAGAAAGAGCGAAUAGUAGGAUGAAACAUGGGUACGGUCUUGAUUCCUUGGCUGCCACUGCUGAGUGCGGAGCUUCGCACAGUUCUCUCCGCGCUCUUCACUUCUUUCUUUCCCUUCGAUUCUCUCCUUCACUAUCCGACAGCCUAUUUUUCCGCAAUUUCUGAUGACUCUCGAGGUCCCUGUCUUACCGGUAACUCAUUCCCUCGGAUCUACUACACUCUCGAUGAAGAAUCUCUGCGCCUCUAUUUUCCAGUGUCCUCGUGGCGGCGCUAUUGCGUAAAAUCGGAGAAGAGGUAGCGAGUUCCUCGCCCGGAGCAACGUGACAACGGAAAGAAGAAACACUCGAGCAUGUCCCAGCGGUGUAAAAUUCGAACGUUACGGUCGGGCCUGACUCUUUGCUCUGCCCGUACAUUUCCUUCUGGGUGAGCAAAGUUUCAGGUGUGUCCGUGACAGUCUAUCGUCGCAGCGUGUCAUUUCUUCCCUCGGCCUAUGGAUCCAUCAUAGUCGAUGCAACGAAUAACGAACAAUAACAAUCUCCAGUCGAGCGUUGGCAUUGAAAAACUGCCAUCGACUGGAAAACGUCCAAACUAUACUAAAGUCCACCGUAUCUAGUGAUAAAUCGAGUCGUAAAGUUCGUUGUGUAACGAGAAGAAUAUUUCUUGUAUUGGCUCGCGAAGCGAUAUACAAAUAUGUACAGGAACGAAGAAUCCAUUCGUGUUUUUUUAACAAAAGCUAUACCGUUUUCAUAUGCAAAAAAAAAGAUCUGUGAUCAACGAGUUACGUUUCAUAUGUUUAUUAUAAAUAUUAUACGCGAGAGACGCGAAUCGGUUUUUAAGAUUAAAAGAGCGGUGAAACGGCGAAAAGAUGAAACGGCGAAAUUUUUGAAAGCAAUACUAUAUCGGAAUGGACCGUUUUCAAAGUAUCGAUGCCAGAAAUUCGAUAAAGCGUAUGAAAGCUAACGUUUCCUUGAAAAUAGUUGAUUUACGAGGGUAGGCAGGGCGAAGUACGCGAUAAAUAUCUAGGUGGAAAUCAAGCAUCCUCGACAGUACUCUUACGCCUGAAAUUUGCUUUUUACCUGGCCCUCGUGCUCUCUUACUUUGAGAAAAUAAAGGUGAGCAAAGUUUCAGGUGUGUGAGUGCGUUGGAAUCAACAAGUAAACUCGAAUGGUAAGACCUUAGAAUAAAAUUCGGAAUUGCGCUGCUUCGAUGGAUCUCUUGUAGACAAAAGUUGUAAUCGUAUCAAAAGGAGAAAUUAUAUUCGCCCAAUUUUCAUUACAUCGGAAACGCGAUUAAAGAAAUUAUUAUAUAUGUAUAUUAUAUUUGCGAAUCAUUCACGUACAUGUUGUGAUUCAAAUAAAAUAUCAAUGCGCUUAACCUCUAAUUGAAAAGAACUAGAAAUUUUUCCUAAUCGCAAAUUUAUUUCUUUUGAAAAUUUGAGAAUUUCAAUGCUACGAUAAACGACUCUAGGAAGAAAGCUAACCUUGCGGAAUAAAAAGCUUCAUCAAUGUCGCAAAAGAUACGUCUAAGAGCGAGUCUAAAAUUAGCAAUGAAAUUAGGCAGGCCUUGGAAAGACUAAUAAAUCAACUGAAGCGUUACGAUCUGGUUUCCGUCACUGUCAGGCUUCCUCCUAUAUAUGUAAAUCAAUAACCAACUGGUUUAAAGCCGAUGUGGUUGAGAGAAUCCAAUUUCACACAUUUAAACUUUUAUAUUUAAAAUUAUAUUCCAUCACGUGUAAAUAACGAGUCUUUAAUUCGUUCAUUCUUGUAUGUGAAAUCAAGCAGAUAUUGUACGAUAAAAAGUAACUGAAAGAACUAUUAAAAAAUUAAGAGAACAACCUGUGCAAAUUAUUUAAGUAGUAAUAAUAUCCCUAACUUUAUAUCCUGAAAACGGUUAUAAUGCUUACACCUGUACACGCGCGAAUCCCAUUCCUAACAUUUUCAUGAAAUAAACAAAAAUUAUUUAUCACAAACGAACCAAUUAUUAACGCGAAAGUAAAGAUGUAGACGAGCUAAUUAAAAUUUGUGAACCCUACUCGCGAAUUAAGUUAUCACCAUCCGCUACUUAAGAACCGAUUACCAAACG